AUGGACGCCGCCCCCCAAUCCAAGAAGCCCAGGACGACCUCCUACGCCGAGUUGCCGUGGAAGGUGAAGAAGUCGGUGGCCGCGGUCGCCUCAUCGGCCGACCAGUUCGGGACGCCGGAGAAGAUGAAGAAGACGAUGGCAGCCUGGGCGUUGGCCGUGGCGGAUCUGGUGACGCCGGAGAAGUCAGAGCCGCAGUCGCUGCAGCGGAGGAGGCGCAGCGGCGCCGCCGUGGCGCUGUCUGUCAAGGAGGCCCGGCGGCCGGCGCUCGAGCUGCAGCUGGCGGGCAGGGGCCCCGCGGCGGAGGUUGAUGCAUGGGUUGACGCGCUUGAGUCUGUUGAGAGGGAGCUCGACGUGGGCGCCGGCAUCGGGCGCAACCCCGUCAAGCGCAGGCCCGAGGUCAAGCAGCCGGAGAGGUAG
rnacentral:rRNA from 1 species